UUGGAAGCAGCCAUUCAUUUAAAGAGUGCGUAACAGCUCACUAGUCGAGGAGUUUGGCGUGGAUAAUAAUCGGGUAUCAAGCUGUUUACCGAAGCAGUGGGAUCAUAUAAUGAUCGGUAGGGGAGCAUUCCACUCUGCGUCGAAGGUGGGGCGUGAGCCCUGCUGGAGCGUGUGGAAAAGCAAAUGUAGGUAUAAGUAACGAUAAAGGGGGUGAGAAACCCCCUCGCCGAAAGACUAAGGUUUCCUGAUCAACGCUAAUCGGAUCAGGGUCAGUCGGGUCCUAAGGCUCAGCCGAACGGCGAGGCCGAUGGCAGAACCGGUUAAUAUUCCGGUACUACCCUUUAGGGUGACGUGGAGACGCAGUCGUGACAAUGCCGCCAGCUGACGGAAUAGCUGGUUAAAGGGUGUAGAAGUUGAUUGUGGCAGGCAAAUCCACCACAAGAUUCGAACCUGACAGUAUGGAGCGUCCUUCCGGACAAUCCAACAGUGCAUGUAAUCAUACUGCCAAGAAAAUCCGCUAAACAUAACCUUCAGGGUACCCGUACCGCAAACGGACACACGUAGUCGGGUUGAAUAUACUAAGGCGCUUGAGUGAUUCACGGUUAAGGAACUAGGCAAAUUAACCCUGUAACUUCGGGAAAAAGGGUCCCUACCCGUUAGCGGGAGGGCGCAGAGAAUCGGUCCAGGCAACUGUUUAACAAAAACACAGGGCUGUGCGAAGUCGAAAGACGCUGUAUACAGCCUGACACCUGCCCGGUGCUGGAAGGUUAAGAGGAGAUGUCAUCGCAAGAGAAGCAUUGAAUUGAAGCCCCAGUAAACGGCGGCCGUAACUAUAACGGUCCUAAGGUAGCGAAAUUCCUUGUCGGGUAAGUUCCGACCUGCACGAAUGGUGUAAUGAUCUGGACACUGUCUCAACCGUGAGCUCAGUGAAAUUGUAGUAUCGGUGAAGAUGCCGAUUACCCGCGAUGGGACGAAAAGACCCCGUGAACCUUUACUAUAGCUUAUCAUUGAAUCUGGGCACGUGAUGUGUAGGAUAGGUCGGAGGCUUUGAAGCAGGUACGCCAGUAUUUGUGGAGCCGCUGUUGAAAUACGACCCUUUAUUUGUUUGGAUUCUAACCCGUGGAACGGGGACAUUGAUUGGUGGGUAGUUUGACUGGGGUGGUCGCCUCCAAAAGCGUAACGGAGGCUUCUAAAGGUGCCCUCCGGCCGAUUGGUAACCGGCCUUAGAGUGUAAUGGCAUAAGGGCGCUUGACUGGGAGACUGACAAGUCGAUCAGGUAGGAAACUAGAGCAUAGUGAUCCGGUGUUUCCGUAUGGAAGGGACAUCGCUCAAAGGAUAAAAGGUACUCCGGGGAUAACAGGCUGAUC
rnacentral:rRNA from 1 species